CCAAUAGCGUAUAUUAAAGUUGUUGCAGUUAAAAAGCUCGUAGUUGAAUUUCGGGAUCAAGGGAUCGGUCAUGCCUUGGUAUGUACUGGUUUCAUUGGUUCUCACCUUCUAAAGAACCAUGAUGUCAUUCAUUUGAUGUUAUGGGGAAUUAGGACUGUUACCUUGAAAAAAUUAGAGUGUUUAAAGCAGGCUCACGCUUGAAUACAUUAGCAUGGAAUAACGAAAUAGGACGUUUGAUUCUAUUUUGUUGGUUUCUAGGAUCGACGUAAUGAUUAAUAGGGAUAGUUGGGGGCAUUAGUAUUCAAUUGUCAGAGGUGAAAUUCUUGGAUUUAUUGAAGACUAACUACUGUGAAAGCAUUUGCCAAGGAUGUUUUCAUUAAUCAAGAACGAAAGUUAGGGGAUCGAAGACGAUCAGAUACCGUCGUAGUCUUAACCAUAAACUAUGCCGACUAGGGAUCGGAUGAUGUUAAUUUUUUAAUGACUCAUUCGGCGCCUUACG
rnacentral:rRNA from 1 species